AUUGAGCGCUGGCGGCAGGCUUAACACAUGCAAGUCGAGCGAGCAGCGGACGGGUGGGUAAUGUCUGGGAAACUGCCUGAUGGAGGGGGAUAACUACUGGAAACGGUAGCUAAUACCGCAUAACAUCAGAUGUGCCCAGAGGGGAUUAGCUAGUAGGUGGGGUACUGGCUCACCUAGGCGACGAUCCCUAGCUGGUCUGAGAGGAUGACCAGCCACACUGGAACUGAGACACGGUCCAGACUCCUACGGGAGGCAGCAGUGGGGAAUAUUGCACAAUGGGCGCAAGCCUGAUGCAGCCAUGCCGCGUGUGUGAAGAAGGCCUUCGGGUUGUAAAGCACUUUCAGCGAGGAGGCGUUACUCGCAGAAGAAGCAACGGCUAACUCCGUGCCAGCCGCCGCGGUAAUAC
rnacentral:rRNA from 1 species